CCAGCAAAAGUAUUUUUUUUAUUGCUAGUUUAGAUUCUACAUAAGCAUAAAAUGGCUACAAAUAAUGAACACGUGAUACAAUACAAAGGCGAUCAUAAAGGACGUGUACUUACAAAGUUAAACAGUUUUUAGUAUCAAAUUAUGGCUCUCAAUAUGUUACACGAACCUGUUCAAAUUCCCGAGGAAGAACUUCAGCUCCUUUCUUUCUAGUUAACCCCGUGUCUUCUAAACUCAACUCACAAAUCUGCAUGUCGUCUUUACCUGCUACAAGUAGCAAAGGAACUUUAUCGGGAUGUAAUUCCAUCUGACGAA